rnacentral:rRNA from 1 species
GAUGAACGCUGGCGGCGUGCUUAACACAUGCAAGUCGAACGGGAAACUUUUCAUUGAAGCUUCGGCAGAUUUGGUCUGUUUCUAGUGGCGGACGGGUGAGUAACGCGUGGGUAACCUGCCUUAUACAGGGGGAUAACAACCAGAAAUGGUUGCUAAUACCGCAUAAGCGCACAGGACCGCAUGGUCCGGUGUGAAAAACUCCGGUGGUAUAAGAUGGACCCGCGUUGGAUUAGCUAGUUGGCAGGGCAACGGCCUACCAAGGCGACGAUCCAUAGCCGGCCUGAGAGGGUGAACGGCCACAUUGGGACUGAGACACGGCCCAGACUCCUACGGGAGGCAGCAGUGGGGAAUAUUGCACAAUGGGGGAAACCCUGAUGCAGCGACGCCGCGUGAAGGAAGAAGUAUCUCGGUAUGUAAACUUCUAUCAGCAGGGAAGAUAGUGACGGUACCUGACUAAGAAGC